UGCCAGCCGCCGCGGUAAGACGGAGGGUGCAAACGUUGUUCGGAAUCACUGGGCAUAAAGCGCACGUAGGCGGUCCGCUAAGUCAGAUGUGAAAUCCCUCGGCUCAACCGAGGAACUGCACCUGAUACUGGCGGACUCGAGGACGGUAGGGGUGAGUGGAACUCCAGGUGGAGCGGUGAAAUGCGUAGAUAUCUGGAGGAACACCGGUGGCGAAGGCGGCUUUCUGGACCGAUACUGACGCUGAGACGCGAAAGCGUGGGGAGCAAACAGGAUUAGAUA
rnacentral:rRNA from 1 species